UUAUUUAAACAUAAUCCUCCUUUUGAUCCACAUUCAUCUUUCCCUUUCCAGUAGUGUACACAAAAUCAAGAUUGUAAAGCACAGGAACCAUAGCAAGAGAGCAAAGGAAAACCAUAACAGGACCAAAAAUCCAUAGCAACAAAGGAAGUCCAGCAUAGAAAAGCCUAUUUCCAACAGCAUUUAAAAUGAAACCUUUCUCCAAAAUUUCAAAUAUAUAUUCUGGUGUGACAAGUGACAUAGGGUCUUGUGGUGUAUUUAUUAAAAUGUUCACUUGAUUAAUGAACCUUAUGGAAAGUGAAUGGCAAAAGAAUGAGAAGAGGAAAAUUGUGAGGAGUGAGACAUAUUUUAGUGCAACCAUGAAUUCACCAUGUGCUCCAUAAAUUGCAUCAUUUAGUGGCUUUUUCACACUAUAUGUGCUGCUUAUAACUGCUGCUAGACCUGAACAUAGUAAAAUUGAGGUUGUGGCCAUUAAGGUUGCCCCCAUUAUUGUGUUCCUUAGUGAUUGCACAGCUAGGAUGUUUUUCUUUUCAUUUACCUUCAUCAUAGCAUUAACCCAAUUUCUACGACCACUAGCAUUGAUGCCAACAAUGGUUGUGUGUGGUUGAGUUCUAACCUUAUGCCAAAGCCA
rnacentral:lncRNA from 1 species